UACGAAGGGGGCUAGCGUUGCUCGGAAUCACUGGGCGUAAAGCGCACGUAGGCGGCUUUUUAAGUCAGAGGUGAAAUCCUGGAGCUCAACUCCAGAACUGCCUUUGAUACUGGAGAGCUUGAGUCCGGGAGAGGUGAGUGGAACUGCGAGUGUAGAGGUGAAAUUCGUAGAUAUUCGCAAGAACACCAGUGGCGAAGGCGGCUCACUGGCCCGGUACUGACGCUGAGGUGCGAAAGCGUGGGGAGCAAA
rnacentral:rRNA from 1 species